AUUUUUAUAGUGUAAUUAACACUUAACAUUUUCGUUGUUAAAAUGAACUUUUUCUAAAAAUA
rnacentral:tRNA from 1 species